AGAGUUUCAUGGUCAGCUUUGUUAGGUCUGCAAGUAUCAUGUUCCAAGGUGUGUGGCUUAUAACCAUGGGAUAUGUGCUUUGGACACCAUCUUUAGUGCCCAAAGGUUGCUUCAUUCACUCAGAAGAAGGUCAUCAAGUGGUAAGAUGCUCGGGGGAGGAGUCUCUACACAGGGCUAAAUCACUAGUAAAUAUCCAAUUCAGCUGGU
rnacentral:misc_RNA from 1 species